AGUGAACGCUGGCGGCAGGCCUAACACAUGCAAGUCGAGCGGCAGCGCGGGGGCAACCCUGGCGGCGAGCGGCGGACGGGUGAGGAAUUCGUCGGAAUCUGCCUUUUUGUGGGGGAUAACGUAGGGAAACUUACGCUAAUACCGCAUACGUCCUACGGGAGAAAGUGGGGGACCGCAAGGCCUCACGCAGAAAGAUGAGCCGACGACCGAUUAGCUAGUUGGUGGGGUAAAGGCCCACCAAGGCGACGAUCGGUGGCUGGUCUGAGAGGAUGAUCAGCCACACUGGGACUGAGACACGGCCCAGACUCCUACGGGAGGCAGCAGUGGGGAAUAUUGGACAAUGGGCGCAAGCCUGAUCCAGCCAUGCCGCGUGUGUGAAGAAGGCCUUCGGGUUGUAAAGCACUUUUGUCCGGAAAGAAAUCCCUGGAGCUAAUACCUUCGGGGGAUGACGGUACCGGAAGAAUAAGCACCGGCUAACUUCGUG
rnacentral:rRNA from 1 species